UAUGCUGUUUCCAGCGGCGGCGUCAACAAGGUAUUAGUUUGUGAUUAGGUCUAGUUCAUGGUGAACCACUAGUGGUAGGUCAAUGAUAUUUGGUAUGCAGUUGUAUUAGCAUUGGCACAUCUCAUUACUAUGGAGAUUAUUUGACCCUGCCCCCUCAGUCAAGGUCUAUUGACUUUGAAACUUUGCUUAGCUUACAUGUAUUAGUUUGUGAUUAGGUCAGUUUAUGAGGAACCACUAGUGGUAGGUCAAUGAUAUUUUGUAUGCAGUUGGGUCAAUAUCCCUAAUGCGCCUCGAAAUGAGGAACUCAAAAGUUGUGUGUAAACAAAAAUCUCUGUGUAGUGAUAUUGGACAUGUUUCUAUUUUUUACAAAUGACUGAGCUUAACCAUUUGUGGUGAUUAGGAAAGUAGAGGAACAUAGAAUAAAUGUGUAAAAACUAUGGAGCUAUUAAAUGUGUUCAAAGUAUUAAAUUUUCAAAUAACUUAUUGUGUUAAAAAAGGGAUUUUUUACCACAAGGAGCCGCAUCACGAAAGGAUGUUCGGGGUAUGCUAAUUAACGGAAAAAGUAAUCUCACUUCGUACCCCGAAAAUUUAACCACAUAUGUGAAAAUGUCACAGCUUCGAAACGAGCUAUCAUACAUAUCCAAGUUUACGAUAUGGACUGAGCUACAGGAAAAAAUGUUACCAUUACCGCCUAUGAAAAACAAUUAAAGAUAUUGACCCAAAUUACAAGAAGAAUUUCAGCAGUUUUCAGACUGAUUUAUGGAUGAUUGCACCUUGUACACCAGAGAAAAUUGUGAAAAUAACGUUCCAGACAUAUCAUUACUAUUUGACCUGAGACAGCAAACUAGAGGUUUUAAAAAGUUCUGAAUAACUGAAAUGGACAAAAAAACACAGAUUUAUUCAGAAAGUCAUACCGAUGAAGAUCACACAAAAAUAUUUGGAAAAAUCAGAACUAUGGAUUUCAAUAUGGGUCAAUAUUCCUAAUGCGCCUCGAAAUGAGGAACUCAAAAGUUGUGUGUAAACAAAAAAUCUCUGUGUAGUAUUAUUGGACAUGUUUCUAUUUUUUUACAAAUGACUGAGCUAAACCAUUUGUGGUGAUUAGGAAAGUAGAGGAACAUAGAAUAAAUGUGUAAAAACUAUGGAGCUAUUAAAUGUGUUCAAAGUAUUAAAUUUUCAAAUAACUUAUUGUGUUAAAAAAGGGAUUUUUUACCACGAGGAGCCGCAUCACGAAAGGAUGUUCGGGAUAUGCUAAUUUACGGAAAAAGUAAUCUCACUUCAUACCCCGAAAAUUUAACCACAUAUGUGAAAAUGUCACAGCUUCGAAACGAGCUAUCAUACAUAUCCAAGUUUACGAUAUGGACUGAGCUACAGGAAAAAACGUUACCAUUACCGCCUAUGGAAAAACAAUUAAAGAUAUUGACCCAGUUGUAUUAGCAUUAGCACAUCUCAUUACCAUGGAGAUUAUUUGGCCCUGCCUACUCAGUCAAGGUCUAUUGACUUUGAAACUUUGCUUAGUUUACAUGUAUUAGUUUGUGAUUAGGUCAGUUUAAGAUGAACCACUUAUGUUAAGUCAAUGAUAUUCGGUAUGCAAAUGUAUUGGCAUUUGCAAGUUUCAUUUCCAUGGAGAUUAUAUAACCCCACCCCCUAAUUAUGGUUCAUUGACUUUGAAACUUUUACAUAGUUUACAAGUUAAUGUUUGUGUUUAGGUUUGUUUAAAGGGAACGACUUAUGAAAAGUCAAUAGUAUUUGGUUUGCAGUUGUAUUAGCAUUGGCAGAUCUCAUUUCCAUGGAGAUUGUUUAGCCCUGUACCUUCAGUCAUGGUUCAUUGACUUUGAAUAUUUGCAUAACUUACAUGUUAAAGUAUUGCUAUUUUAAUUUCAACAUUUGCAUUAUCAAAAUAAGAAAUAGGCGAGACAUAUCUCUGUGUUAACAGUUUAUUAACAAUUUCUUCCAUUUUUGCCUUUUAUCUUGAAACUUAUAAUAGAUAGAUAGAAGUUUAAGUAGCAAAAAAUAGUAGCAAGACACGAUCUACAAAUAAGUCAACUUGACAGAAAUCAUCAUUUGACUCCUUAUUGGAGUUCUUGCCUUGAAAUGACAAUUUUUACUUUUUUGUGUAUAUUUGCCUAUUAUCUUGAAACUAUAUUAGAUAGAUAGAAACUUUAAAAAGCAAAUUCGAUCAGCAAGACAAGAUUUGCAAAUAGGUCAUCAUAGAUUGGCCAUUAAUGAGGAUUUUUACAAUGCUUUGUGUUUUAGAAAAAAAACUAUAGAAGAUAAAAAAAACUGUCAAUAGAAAAAAAAAAUUAUCAGCAAAAAAGAGAUUUAGGAAAAAAUAUACCUACUAUAGUCAGGUUUUUCCGAUUAUCUCACUUAGUUUGUGAUGCGACUGCUAUGUGUCGUCGUAGUAGUGGUCGCAAUUACAGUCGUGAAAAAAUUAUAAACAAAGCUUAAUUUUAUCAAAUCUUAGAAAUUUCUUUGGUCAGACCUAUAAUCCGACGGCCUAUAAUUUGACAAUCCUAAAGUCAGACAGUUCUAUAAUCCGACCAUGAGCCUGUUUGUAUAUAGUUUUACUUUUUCACAGAAACGAGAGUAUAGUACUUGUUGUGUGACGCACAUAUACUGCUCAAAAUUGGGUGACUUUUUCGUCUUUUGCAGAAAGUAAACUCGAUCGCGGUGUAAAGCAUAAAACUACUAUUGUGCAUAGCAUAACAUCAUGUUCCUGUGCUUAAAAUAAAUGAAUAGCUUUUAACCACAAAAAGGCACCAAAGUGUAUAUUCAAAGCGAUGAUUAGUUGAGCUUUACAAGCGUAUUAAACCUUGAAGGUUUUCAGCAAGAACUGGCAUCCAAGAAUAAAAUAGUUUACAAGCUCAACUUUUUGAAAUACGAAAGCGACGUCUCAAAUCAUCAAAAUAUUAAUAUCAAAUUGGGGUAUUUAUUUUAAAUAUAUUAUUAAUCAAAAUAAAAUUAACUCUGCCAUUUGCAUCAUAGUGGAGUAUUGAUCAAUAAUUAUCUUUACAUGCCAGACUGGUGUUGGAUUGCCGCUGUGCUCGUCUGCCCUCGGACGACAGUCCUUAUUUGGUCAAGAGACUGGCAUUACCAAUGGGAAGGGGGCUUCCAGUGAUGACCAGUCACAUGACUAAUUAGCUGAUUGGUUUGUGAUUGUAGUGCGCUCACUUCAAUUAGAAAAUUUAGCGUGGUUGAACGCAGCAAAGUUUCAUGCAGAAACUAAUUUUUUAUUCCCACCCACCGCACCACUUUGUUUAU